rnacentral:rRNA from 2 species
AGACCCGAAACCCGGUGAUCUAGCCAUGGGCAGGUUGAAGGUUGGGUAACACUAACUGGAGGACCGAACCGACUAAUGUUGAAAAAUUAGCGGAUGACCUGUGGCUGGGGGUGAAAGGCCAAUCAAACCGGGAGAUAGCUGGUUCUCCCCGAAAGCUAUUUAGGUAGCGCCUCGUGAAUUCAUCUCCGGGGGUAGAGCACUGUUUCGGCUAGGGGGCCAUCCCGGCUUACCAACCCGAUGCAAACUGCGAAUACCGGAGAAUGUUAUCACGGGAGACACACGGCGGGUGCUAACGUCCGUCGUGAAGAGGGAAACAACCCAGACCGCCAGCUAAGGUCCCAAAGUCAUGGUUAAGUGGGAAACGAUGUGGGAAGGCCCAGACAGCCAGGAUGUUGGCUUAGAAGCAGCCAUCAUUUAAAGAAAGCGUAAUAGCUCACUGGUCGAGUCGGCCUGCGCGGAAGAUGUAACGGGGCUAAACCAUGCACCGAAGCUGCGGCAGCGACACUGUGUGUU